UACGUAGGGUGCGAGCGCUACUCGGAAUUACUGGGCGUAAAGCGUGCGCAGGCGGUUUUGUAAGCCAGAUGUGAAAUCCCCGGGCUUAACCUGGGAAUGGCAUUUGGGACCGCAAGGCUUGAGUGCGGCAGAGGAGACUGGAAUUCCUGGUGUAGCAGUGAAAUGCGUAGAUAUCUGGAGGAACACCGGUGGCGAAGGCGGCAUCCUGGACCGACACUGACGCUGAGGCGCGAAAGCCAGGGGAGCAAACGGG
rnacentral:rRNA from 1 species